GAUUGUGUUCAUUAUAUGUGUAGUGACUACUCCGCAGCAGCAGGGCGGCGCUAAUGCACCAAUUACGGGAAAUUUCACUUCCGGAAAGCCACCAAAAGAAGAGCCCAGUGACAUUCAAUCUUCGCCUGCUAAACUGAGUGCGACUAUUAUCAUAAUGAAUACGAUACUGACGUCUUUUUUCCGUCUGCGAGGAAUAACACAUUUAAGCAGAAUCCCAGCAGGACACCUCGUAGUAAAUGGGAAUCCUCACCUCAGAUUAUUUAGCAACUGGCUCACCCCCAGAGCUGCUGUGGAUUACCAGAGUCCAAGGAUCGGACCGCUUUCUUCCCAAACUGAGGGCGCAGGCAUCUUCCAGCAGCUCCCGUGGCAACGCCAGCAAGUUCGAACAAAGAAAAGAGGCACCGAGUAUCAGCCCAAAAACAUCAAACGCAAGAGAACCCACGGCUGGAUCAAGAGGCUCAGCACAAGAGGAGGUGUUGAGGUGCUCCUCCGGCGCAUGUUGAAGGAUCGCAAAUCACUCUCACACUGAACAUCCCAGCUGGAAAGGAGGACUUGUAAAGGAGAUGUAAAACUGUCCCAUCUUUGGGGGUAUGCUGCAAGCCGCGAGGGACUUGUGUAUUGUGUGGAAAAGUGAUACUAGGCGUGGGUUGGUUUCCAAGUUCAUCCUCAAUGGGUGGGUGGGAUUGAAGCAUUCAGAAACCGAGCCUUGAGAUUAGGUGAAUGAAAUUAAUAAACGAUCCUCAUCCAACUGUGGCUUGAGAAAUCACUGUUUUCCAACACCAAAUCCAAAUGAGAAACACAAAACUCACUCACGCUUUUUACUCACAUAAAGUAACUGGCUUAGUUUAAUUCAAACAUGCUUAAGGUGUGACGUUGACAUACCUCACCUUUACACUUGCACAAUUCCACAUGAAGCAGAGGUUCAUUAAGAAUAAAAAAAUUGCUAUGUACUGCAGUUCACUUUGUGUUUAACAUGUACCAGGUUACCAUUCACAAAUCCAAGAGGAUUAAGAAUUUGUAAUACAGAAGUAAGGUUGAUAAGGUAAACUACUUGAAAGAAGGUAUCUGGGUAAUAGCAAACUGCUUUUAAAUAACAAUUAUGAUAAAAGUAUGUUCAUGGAAAGUUGAUUCACCUGUACUGUUUUUGGUUGGAGUCCAGAGUGUCACGAACAGGAUAGAAAACAAGGUGUAAAUACAUAAAAGCUUUCAAUUUGAACAGCUUUCUCUAUGUAAAAAAAGAUUUCAAUUCCAAAAUGGCCGCCCCUUCAAUGUUGAGCAUCAAACGUCGCCGCCAUAUUGGAUGUGCCGCAGCUACGCUGUAAAUCAAUACAAGUAAAUGUACAUACUUAUUCAAUCAGCUAUAGAGCACAAAGUAGCAAUUAGUCAUGUGUGGGCUCAAUAUGAAUGUAAUAAAUUUACUUGUGUUGAAGUACAGCGCAGCCAUGACACAUCCAAUAUGGCGGCUACGUAGACGUACUCCUCAGCACUCGAUGCGACGUUUACGUCAACGUGUAUUUUUAGCCCAAAAGUGACCAAAGAUAAUAUAAUUAACAUGAUCAAACAUAAAAAUACGAGUUUUGUCUCUAAAGAACUGUGCUGUGGCGUCUUGUCCUUUUUGGAACACGGUGUUCUCAGGCUCCAGGGAGCAUGAUCUCGUCUAACUUGGAGACCACAACAAAGACGACGUACUGAACACAUCAUAGACAUUAAAGAGUUCGUUUAACUGGCCACAAAAACAGACAAAACGGCUCUCAACGAGUUUAAAAUAGACGGCUCAUUUUAUAACUUUUAAAACGCCGCCACUUGACAUGAAUAAGAGGGAUUUCUUAAGGGAACUGCCUGUUUUUAACAAGAACAACUUCAGCAAUUUUCACCCAGACUCUCAUCGUCAGCUUCCCGUCUAUCUCCCAACCCAUGAAUAUCCAUCAGAUCAGAUCAUUGUCCAAGAGAAGAUAGACAUCCUCUCACGAUAUUGUCUUCGAAAGUGGAAGUUUUUCCGAAUGCAGAAUGUCAGCAGCAGGAACAGGAGCAAGGCAAGACGUUGCCUCUCGGAAAAACUAUCUGAAGAUUAAUAAUAAUGAUAAUGACUUCCACUUGAUAUUAUUUACACAGCAUUAAAUAAAUGAAAGAUAAUGAUCAUAAA